rnacentral:rRNA from 1 species
GAUGAACGCUGGCGGCGUGCCUAAUACAUGCAAGUCGAGCGAACAGACGAGGAGCUUGCUCCUCUGACGUUAGCGGCGGACGGGUGAGUAACACGUGGAUAACCUCCCUAUAAGACUGGGAUCAUUUCGGGAAACCGGAGCUAAUACCGGAUAAUAUAUUGAACCGCAUGGUUCAAUAGUGAAAGACGGUUUUGCUGUCACUUAUAGAUGGAUCCGCGCCGCAUUAGCUAGUUGGUAAGGUAACGGCUUACCAAGGCGACGAUGCGUAGCCGACCUGAGAGGGUGAUCGGCCACACUGGAACUGAGACACGGUCCAGACUCCUACGGGAGGCAGCAGUAGGGAAUCUUACGCAAUGGGCGAAAGCCUGACGGAGCAACGCCGCGUGAGUGAUGAAGGUCUUCGGAUCGUAAAACUCUGUUAUUAGGGAAGAACAAAUGUGUAAGUAACUAUGCACGUCUUGACGGUACCUAAUCAGAAAGCCACGGCUAACUACGUG